UAAUACGUAGGUGGCGAGCGUUGUCCGGAUUUAUUGGGUUUAAAGGGUGCGUAGGCGGCUCAUUAAGUCAGUUGUGAAAUACGACAGCUUAACUGUCGAGGUGCAAUUGAUACUGGUGAGCUUGAGUACUGAUGAGGUAGGCGGAAUGGACGGUGUAGCGGUGAAAUGCUUAGAGAUCGUCCAGAACACCGAUAGCGAAGGCAGCUUACUAAGGAGUAACUGACGCUGAGGCACGAAAGUGUGGGGAUCAAACAGGAUUAGAUACCCUGGUAGUCCACACUGUAAACGAUGAUUACUCGAUGUUGGCGAUACACAGCCAGCGUCUUAGCAAAAGCGAUAAGUAAUCCACCUGGGGAGUACGCCGGCAACGGUGAAACUCAAAUGAAUUGACGG
rnacentral:rRNA from 1 species